UACGUAGGGGGCUAGCGUUGUCCGGAAUCAUUGGGCGUAAAGCGCGUGUAGGCGGUCCGGUAAGUCCGCUGUGAAAGUCGGGGGCUCAACCCUCGAAUGCCGGUGGAUACUGUCGGGCUAGAGUGCGGAAGAGGCGAGUGGAAUUCCUGGUGUAGCGGUGAAAUGCGCAGAUAUCAGGAGGAACACCAGUGGCGAAGGCGCCGCUCUGGGCCGUGACUGACGCUGAAGAGCGAAAGCGUGGGUAGCAAACAGG
rnacentral:rRNA from 1 species